rnacentral:rRNA from 1 species
UCAAGCUACAAAGAGCACAAGGGGAAUGCCUUGGCACCGAGAGCCGAAGAAGGACGUGACUAACUGCGAUAAGCUGCGGGGAGCCGUAAGUAGGCUUUGAUCCGCAGAUUUCCGAAUGGAGCAAUCCGGCAAGAGGAAAGUCUUGUCAUCAUAUACUGAAUACAUAGGUAUAUGAGGGGAACCGCCUGAACUGAAACAUCUAAGUAGGGCGAGGAAGAGAAAUCAACUGAGAUUCCGUAAGUAGUGGCGAGCGAACGCGGAAGAGGCCAAACCGAGAGUAGUAAUACUUUCGGGGUUCGGACAGAAUACGGCAUUGUAAAGGUUUAGUGGAAUGGAAUGGGAAGUCCAACCGAAGAAGGUGAGAGUCCUGUACACGAAAAGCCUGAACAGCCAUCUGUAUCCAGAGUACCGCCGGACACGUGAAACCCGGUGGGAAGACGGGGGGACCAUCCUCCAAGCCUAAAUACUACUCGGUGACCGAUAGUGAAGAAGUACUGUGAAGGAAAGGUGAAAAGUACCCCUGACGGGGAGUGAAAAAGAACCUGAAACCUUGUGUUUACAAGCACCGAAAGCUCAUCAAAGAGCGAUCGGGUACCUUUUGUAGAAUGGUCCGGCGAGUGAAUGUAACCGGCGAGGUUAAGCACUUAAGGUGUGAAGCCGCAGCGAGAGCAAGUCUGAAUAGGGCGUAUGAAGUCGGUUGUAUUCGACCCGAAACCGGGUGACCUACCCAUGGUCAGGUUGAAGUAAAGGUAAAACUUUAUGGAGGACCGAACCGACUCCCGUUGAAAUGGUAGCGGAUGAACUGUGGGUAGCGGAGAAAUUCCAAUCGAACCCGGAGAUAGCUGGUUCUCUCCGAAAUAGCUUUAGGGCUAGCCUUGAAAUAGAUUACCGGAGGUAAAGCACUGAAUUGGCUAGGGGCCGAGAGGUUACUGAACCUUAUCAAACUAAGAAUGCCGGAUAAUCGUUUUUCAGGAGUCAGACAGUGGGAGAUAAGUUUCAUUGUCAAAAGGGAAACAGCCCAGACCCACAGCUAAGGUCCCCAAGUAUAGUUAAGUGGAAAAGGAUGUGGAAUUGCACAGACAACCAGGAUGUUGGCUUAGAAGCAGCCACUCAUUAAAAGAGUGCGUAAUAGCUCACUGGUCGAGUGACUCUGCGCGGAAAAUGUAACGGGGCUAAGCAUCUAACCGAAGCUUAGGAUUGUCGUAAGACAGUGGUAGGGGAGCGUUCCAUGUGGGGUGAAGUCGCAGCGGAAGCAGCGGUGGACUGCAUGGAAGUGAGAAUGCCGGAAUGAGUAGCGAGAAUUAUGUGGGAAUCAUAAUGGCCGAAAAUCUAAGGUUUCUUGGGGAAGGUUCGUCCGCCCAAGGUAAGCCGGGAGCUAAGGCGAGGCCGAAAGGCGUAGUCGAUGCACAUACGGUUGAAAUUCCGUAGCCACCGAAACUUAAACCAGAAGGACACUUGGAGCUAUCCGAACCCGGGCGUUGGUUGACCCGGGCGUAAGGGACCGAAAUUAAGUAGGGAAGUCGGAGAAUGACGAGGCGAGAAAAGUUCUGGUGUAUGCUAAGGUGCCCGUACCGCAAACCGACACAGGUAGAUGAGGAGAGAAUCCUAAGGCCAACGGGAGAAGGGUUGUUAAGGAACUCGGCAAAAUUACCCCGUAACUUCGGGAUAAGGGGAGCCCCCUACGGGGGGCCGCAGAGAAUAGGCCCAAGCGACUGUUUACCAAAAACACAGGUCUAUGCUAAAUCGAAAGAUGACGUAUAUGGGCUGACGCCUGCCCGGUGCUGGAAGGUUAAGAGGAGAGCUUAGCGCAAGCGAAGGUUUGAAUUGAAGCCCCAGUAAACGGCGGCCGUAACUAUAACGGUCCUAAGGUAGCGAAAUUCCUUGUCAGGUAAGUUCUGACCCGCACGAAUGG